AUACGUUAGUGCUCUCUAGCGGAAAAACAGGUGGUACCCUGUAGGAGCCUGGAAGUCAUCGCGAUUUGAAUAUACAUUUACGAGUUGAAAUCAACACUGAUAGAUGACACUACUAUUAUCGUCUGGAAUUGAUUCGUAAACGUGUUGGUCGAUGGUCAGUGCUUAGUGAAUAGUGGCUAGUGCUUAGUGAAUAGUGGCUAGUGCUUAGUACUUUAGUAGUCAGUGGUCAUUUUUCUUUGAUGCAUUGAGAAUUGAGAUGUAGAGUUAUGAAGACAUAAUAUUUAAACUCAAACUAAUUGGUUGGAAACUUGAAACAGUUGAAGCCUUCAGAAAAGUAACCAAAGACAAUAGUGGAUUUAUUUCACUCAAUUAAAAACUGAGUAAUUGAGAAGAAGAGCCUAUAUAAUAAUAUUAUAAUCUUAAUUUACAGGCUAGUAUGAUAAUGCCACAUAUUUAAGCUAACAGAUUUAAUUGAUUUAUUACCAUUCUGAAGUCUUAAGUGUAUUAAACUAGAUUGUGAUGUAUUGUUCAUUAGCUAACAUAAAAAAUUGUAUUUUCAGUAAUUUUUAUCAUGUGAUAAUAGGAAUUUUCUUAUUAAUGUUUAAAGUUCAUAAAACCCAAAAUUGGAUUGUAACUCACUGGUUGAAAACUACUGUUCUAUAUAGUAUUAUAACCAUUAUAUUUUAUAAUAAGUCAAUUCACUCUCAUAUUAAAGUUAACUAUCUAAAAUUGGUUCUUUGGAAUACCAAUUAACAUACCAAGUAUGUUGUUGUUGUACAUAUGUAAGAGGGAAACAACAUGUGUAAAUUAAGCGUUCUUUUAAAUUUAAUUAGAUAAUGAAAUUGUUUAUUGUUUUCAA